ensembl:lncRNA
AAAAACUCCAGAAGGCACAACGGAGGGUCGAAAAGCGCACUGCCCCCAGGAGGAAGAUGACACGCAGGGAAGAGCACAUGAGUUCCCUGCUGCAGGAGACAGUGGCUGUGCGAUUGGAUGAGCAGGCGGCAGCAAAGAAGCACCCACUUGUAACUUCCUGGCUGCGGGCGUUUCUGCUGUUCUUGGGCCUGCUGCAGCUUGUCUUCUUCACCCUGUUUGUGCUACAGAAGGACAUCCUUCACUGGGUCCUGCCUGGAGAGCUGGCGACUGCCCUUGGCAUCCGUCCACCUAAGCCCGCUCUUUUCUGACCCCACAACACACUGCGGCCCUUCAUCGGGACACCAUUGGGUCUGCACAAGCAUAAGGGGUUUGUCACCAUUGUCACCCUGUCACCAAUCAUGUCAAUA